AAACACUAUGAAAUGAAUCACACCAAUAACUUACUGUUUCUCUUUGUUUCUUUUCUCUCUCUUCUUCAAACACCAUUCUUUUCUCCUCUUUCCAUUUCAUAUAAUAAUAACAACCAACUCUCCUUCAUUCUCUCCUUUUACUCUCUCCUCUAAUUUCAUCAUUAUUGUUUGAACUAAUCUAUUAGUACCUUGCUGCAAAAAAAAUCCAAGUAUUUGUCUAUUUUUUUAACAAACUCUUUGUUAGAAAAAUUGUCAAUGGUUGAAAUAUUAUGGCUGAGUAAGAUAAGGGGUAAGGUUGCUUCUGGGUUUCUCUUGGUGAGUGUUGAUUCAUGGUUAAUGGGUGCAAAAUGGAUUGGAGUUAAUUUGAGGUGUAUAGAAAAUGAACUUUGCUAGAUUAUUUUGUUUUUGUAUAAGCCGAACUUUGCUAGUUUUUUUAUGGAACGUUGCUAUAUUUAGUGGGAAAAACAAUGUCAAGCGGUUAAUUAAAAGGGUAAAAAGCGGUUCGUGGAAUAUUCGUGAAAAAUUGCUUCGCUGUAUAUAGCAAAGCUCUAUUUAAUAUAAUUAAUUAUGAUAAAAAAAAGUAAUUAAUUCAUUCGAUUUCUCUCUCACACACUUUUCAUCUUUCACCAUCAACCCCAACAACAACAACAUCCCUUCCCCUUCUUCUGCAAUUUCUCUUCUUCCAAACUUCUCUUCCACUCUCUCAAAUUUUUAGUUGGUUUUGUUCUCUCUUUUUCAUAGAUUUUCUCUCAAAUCUCUCAAGGCCUAUCUUUCUCAAUUCUCAGUUGGAUUUUAUUUUUUUCUUGUUUGAAAGAAUUGUCAAUUCUUUGAUGAUGGUUGUUUGGACAUGAAUUUUUAAAAAAGGGUUUUUGAAAGUGAAAAUUUCGAUAAGGAAUUGGGUAUGAAAAAUGUUUGUUUUGUUAGGUAUUCAUGGAGUGAUUGGAGAAUUUUGGUCGCCAUGGAAGAGAUGCAAAAACUGAAGCUUCUAGGUUGCCAAGGAUUUAAAUUUUGAACCAUUUGAUUGAUCUAAUGGACAAUAUUUGGAGAAGGAGAGAGAAGGAGAGAGUUGGGGAUGGAGAGUAUCCAAUUCCAUGCUUCAGGGGCAGAAACAUAUUCUUGCAUUGUUACUUAAAAUAAUCAAAUUUUAAAUUAAGGUGGGACCGAAGUAAAAAUGGUUUGGUGCACCAUAAACCCCCAUUUUUAGGGGUGCAUGAUAGACAUGGCCAUUUCUUAUAUAUCUUUCUUAUCUCUAAUGUUGUAAUGUGCAACUAGCAUGAGAAUCGAACUUAUAUCUCCUGCUUACAAUUAAUUCUUUGACCACUA
rnacentral:lncRNA from 1 species